GCCAAGGAUGACAUGUCACGAUGUGAUAAGGUUUAACAUUCCUGGAAAAAUCUGGAUAGAUCCUGUUAAACUCUCCUUCAGAGACGGGUGUGCCAACUUCCAACCCAUUGUUCAGGAUACAGUCAUGGCAACGAGAGCUGGAGGAGGAGCUGGUCUCAUCGCAUCCUUAGUCGGGAAGCAGAGAGAUCUGUACGUUGACAAGCUCACGUUCUUAUUCAGUCCAGCUCCCCAGCCCAUGGAACGGUGAUGCUCACCUCAGGGGAGUUUGCCUUGACUGAGGGACA
rnacentral:lncRNA from 1 species